rnacentral:rRNA from 1 species
UGGGGAAUUUUGGACAAUGGGCGAAAGCCUGAUCCAGCAAUGCCGCGUGUGUGAAGAAGGCCUUCGGGUUGUAAAGCACUUUUGUCCGGAAAGAAAUCCUUGGCUCUAAUACAGUCGGGGGAUGACGGUACCGGAAGAAUAAGCACCGGCUAACUACGUGCCAGCAGCCGCGGUAAUACGUAGGGUGCAAGCGUUAAUCGGAAUUACUGGGCGUAAAGCGUGCGCAGGCGGUUUGCUAAGACCGAUGUGAAAUCCCCGGGCUCAACCUGGGAACUGCAUUGGUGACUGGCAGGCUAGAGUAUGGCAGAGGGGGGUAGAAUUCCACGUGUAGCAGUGAAAUGCGUAGAGAUGUGGAGGAAUACCGAUGGCGAAGGCAGCCCCCUGGGCCAAUACUGACGCUCAUGCACGAAAGCGUGGGGAGCAAACAGGAUUAGAUAUCCUGGUAGUCCACGCCCUAAACGAUGUCAACUAGUUGUUGGGGAUUCAUUCCUUAGUAACGUAGCUAACGCGUGAAGUUGACCGCCUGGGGAGUACGGUCGCAAGAUUAAAACUCAAAUGAAUUGACGGGGUCAUAGCUG